rnacentral:misc_RNA from 1 species
GGAAGUAAAAGCCGUAACAAGGUUUCCGUAGGUGAACCUGCGGAAGGAUCAUUAUUGUAUAACCGAGGUGCGAGGGCUGUCGCUGACCCGACAGGUCGUGCACGCCCGAGUGCCCUCACACAUAUCCAUCUCACCCCUAUGUGCACCACCGCGUGGGUCCCCCUUUGGCUUGUUCGGAGGGGGGCUUACGUUUUCACACAAACUUUGUAUGCAGUGUAGAAUGUAUUUUUUGUUGUUGCGAUCACGCAAUCAAUACAACUUUCAACAACGGAUCUCUUGGCUCUC